UUACUCCUCUCUUCUUUACUAUGCUAGCUGACUACAUAGUGGUACCGUCCACUAUAAUAAAACGGGUAUACAUCAUGUUUAGGAUGUAUAUACUAGUGAAUAUACAUGGUGCACGCUACAACUCCUAUUUCUGGCAUGGUAAUGAAUGAAUGAAUGAAUAUCGGCGCUUGGAAUCGGAAUCCUUCUCGCAUCCUUAUAUUUAUAGGGUAGACAUAAAUAAAGCCAAGAAAAUUCUAAAAUUAUAAAUACAGUACCUCAAGGCAAUGAAAAUUCUAAAAUUAAGACGAAACCAAGCUAAUAUUAAAUAUAAAUACAGUACCUCAAGGCAAAGCAUUUGAACACAUGGAUAAAAUUAGGAAUAUUUAUAUUUUCUAAGAAAUAGAACAUUAGAAGAACAAUAAUUAUGAAUUUUUUAAAUAAUGAUACCUACAUAUAGAAAGUCAAGUUAUUAUAAAAAUAAAAUAUAUUUUACCUCUAUUUCUCCAACCUGUCUCGGGAGAGGUUACACAGUAAAUAACCUAUUUACUGAAACAGCAGCAUGCAACGAUAUUUGCAAAUAUUUGAGUGGAAGAAGAGAAAUCAUGACAUUAGUGCCUCCUUUGAUAAAUCCUCGACAAGAAGUUGGAGACAGUGAUGUGGGGAAUUUUGGGAACUUGUUGGAGUAAAGUCAAAUGUUCAAUCCUCCACAAGAUGUUGGAGACAGUGAUAUGGGGAUUUCUGGGAACUUGUUGGAAGAAAGUCAAAUGUUCAAUCCUCCACAAGAAGUUGGAGACAGUGAUGUGGGGAUAAUUUGUACUUUAAGUUUAUUCAUAAUUGCAUAAUGCUCUUCUUUAGAUUUAUCAGGAUGGUGGUGAAUAUGUUUCAAUGUAAAUUUCAUUUUAUUACAAAUAUAUUCAAUUGUUUUUUAGAUAUUUUUAUUAUUAAUUGUAAAUAAUGCUAACAUAUAAAAAUUGAAUUUAUUAUUCUUUGGGAAAGUAAAAUUAUAUUGGAAGUUCUAUAUUUAUAUUGAGAAUGAAUGGUGUUAUAUUUGUGAGGAAAAG